rnacentral:rRNA from 1 species
UAACGCGUGGAUAACCUGCCUUACACUGGGGGAUAACACUUAGAAAUAGGUGCUAAUACCGCAUAAGCGCACAGAGCCGCAUGGCUCAGUGUGAAAAACUUCGGUGGUGUAAGAUGGAUCCGCGUCUGAUUAGCUGGUUGGCGGGGUAGAAGCCCACCAAGGCGACGAUCAGUAGCCGGCCUGAGAGGGUGAACGGCCACAUUGGGACUGAGACACGGCCCAAACUCCUACGGGAGGCAGCAGUGGGGAAUAUUGCACAAUGGGGGAAACCCUGAUGCAGCAACGCCGCGUGAGUGAAGAAGUCAUUCGUGAUGUAAAGCUCUAUCAGCAGGGAAGAAAAUGACGGUACCUGAGUAAGAAGCCCCGGCUAACUACGUGCCAGCAGCCGCGGUAAUACGUAGGGGGCAAGCGUUAUCCGGAUUUACUGGGUGUAAAGGGAGCGUAGACGGCCAGACAAGUCUGAAGUGAAAAUCCAGCGCUUAACGUUGGAAGUGCUUUGGAAACUGCCGGGCUAGAGUGCAGGAGGGGCAGGCGGAAUUCCUAGUGUAGCGGUGAAAUGCGUAGAUAUUAGGAGGAACACCAGUGGCGAAGGCGGCCUGCUGGACUGCAACUGACGUUGAGGCUCGAAGGCGUGGGGAGCAAACAGGAUUAGAUACCCUGGUAGU